CGAUGAGAGUAAGGAACCUGCUACGGAGGAUGAGAAGUGGCUCCUUGUCCCAGGAAAGAUAGAGAAUUUCACAUACACGGGGAAGAAUGUCCGCGUGCCAGGGAGUCUGAUUGGAGCUGCUAUUAGGAAGUACUGGCCGGGGAUGUACACUCCGGUCCUUGGGGGCGAGUCCAAGCUAGCCUACACUUGGGAAGACUUUGAGAUAGCGCCUUACCCUGGCUUUACUUCCGCCGCCGACGCCGUGAUCAAGAAGUUUUGGCGCAAUUAUAGGGUGGCGACUGAGCAUAAGGAGAGGGCGGACGUGGUGCUCCGUAACAUGUGUCGGAAGUUGACACGGCAGCAGUGGUACAACCGAGA